GGGGGCGACUGGAUUCGACUGGGCAAUUGAAGUGUGGGUCGCAUGCCGCGGUUGGUCAGCAUGCCGCGUUAAAAGCCGACUAAAAAAUAAACGCCAAAAAUAAUACUAUGGCUCUUGCCGCCUAAGAAGAGGCGACCGUGCACCAGUUUCCCUGACAGAUGGAGACUGACUGUAGCGUAACGAAGUCUGUCUGGUCCUGAUUCACUGGAGGUACGGUCGGGACGAGAUUUGGUUCCUAUCUGGUCGGAGACGCACCCUGUCGGUUGGGGGCUGCUUCGGCGAGACUUAAAUUAAUCGACUACGCAUGUAGACGCUCACAGGGAGAUGUCGCAGGACGCGGGUUCGAUACCCGCCGCCUCCAUUU
rnacentral:tmRNA from 1 species